rnacentral:sRNA from 1 species
GUAUUGAGCAUAGUGGUGACGGCGCCGAUCAUUUGGGUCGGAACGUCGAUGGGAUGGCUCGGCUGACGAUGAUGCGAAUUCUGCGCUCGAGCGAGUACAGGCAUAUGCCGUGGAAGAACGGCGGCGGAGAGACGGUGGAAAUCGCCGUCUCUCCGGACCGUGC